CUCAGGAGGCUGAGGCAGGAGGAUUGCUUGAGCCCAAGAGUUGGAGGCUUCCGUGAACCAAGAUUGCACCACCACUGCACUGCAGACUGGGUGACAGACAGUUUCUGGUUCAUCAGGCCUGGAUCGUGUCCCAAGAUUCUGCUUUUUAAUAAGCUCCUGGGUGAUGCCCAUGCUGCUGAUCCUCAUUCUCAAAACACCAAAAUUGGAAAGAGUUUUCAUGACUCUAUAAGAACUUAGGUAUAGUCCAUCUCGCCUUUCUCUUCCACCAUAAAUAUGAAUGAACUUUUCUUAGGUUAAAGAUAUUUAGAGGUGUUAGAGGAUCUGAUGCUAACUGCAACAAUAUUACCAAUGUAGUAAUUUUAACAACUUUUAAUCUAUUGUAAAAUUACCAAGUAAGGCCCAUGGUAAAUUUUAAUACAGAAGGAAUCAAAUUGUGAGAACAGAUGUUAAGAGCAAAUUAAUGGUUGGCGGAGGUCCAUCUCAUUCCCCAGGCCCUGAAAAUUUCCGAUUCUCUAAACCAAAGCGUGAUCACCACCUGCCCAAACUACUGACAUUGUAUCAUGCAA
rnacentral:lncRNA from 1 species